rnacentral:rRNA from 2 species
UUGAACUGAAGAGUUUGAUCCUGGCUCAGAUUGAACGCUGGCGGCAUGCCUUACACAUGCAAGUCGAACGGCAGCACGGGGGCAACCCUGGUGGCGAGUGGCGAACGGGUGAGUAAUACAUCGGAACGUGUCCUGUAGUGGGGGAUAGCCCGGCGAAAGCCGGAUUAAUACCGCAUACGCUCUGCGGAGGAAAGCGGGGGCUCCUUCGGGACCUCGCGCUACAGGGGCGGCCGAUGGCAGAUUAGCUAGUUGGUGGGGUAAAGGCCUACCAAGGCGACGAUCUGUAGCUGGUCUGAGAGGACGACCAGCCACACUGGGACUGAGACACGGCCCAGACUCCUACGGGAGGCAGCAGUGGGGAAUUUUGGACAAUGGGCGCAAGCCUGAUCCAGCAAUGCCGCGUGUGUGAAGAAGGCCUUCGGGUUGUAAAGCACUUUUGUCCGGAAAGAAAACCUCAGCCCUAAUACGGCGGGGGGAUGACGGUACCGGAAGAAUAAGCACCGGCUAACUACGUGCCAGCAGCCGCGGUAAUACGUAGGGUGCAAGCGUUAAUCGGAAUUACUGGGCGUAAAGCGUGCGCAGGCGGUCCGCUAAGACAGAUGUGAAAUCCCCGGGCUUAACCUGGGAACUGCAUUUGUGACUGGCGGGCUAGAGUAUGGCAGAGGGGGGUAGAAUUCCACGUGUAGCAGUGAAAUGCGUAGAGAUGUGGAGGAAUACCGAUGGCGAAGGCAGCCCCCUGGGCCAAUACUGACGCUCAUGCACGAAAGCGUGGGGAGCAAACAGGAUUAGAUACCCUGGUAGUCCACGCCCUAAACGAUGUCAACUAGUUGUCGGGCCUUCAUUGGCUUGGUAACGUAGCUAACGCGUGAAGUUGACCGCCUGGGGAGUACGGUCGCAAGAUUAAAACUCAAAGGAAUUGACGGGGACCCGCACAAGCGGUGGAUGAUGUGGAUUAAUUCGAUGCAACGCGAAAAACCUUACCUACCCUUGACAUGUACGGAAUCCUGCUGAGAGG